rnacentral:rRNA from 1 species
AUUGAACGCUGGCGGCAUGCUUUACACAUGCAAGUCGAACGGUAACAGGCCGCAAGGUGCUGACGAGUGGCGAACGGGUGAGUAAUGCAUCGGAACGUGCCCAGUCGUGGGGGAUAACGCAGCGAAAGCUGCGCUAAUACCGCAUACGAUCUAUGGAUGAAAGCGGGGGACCGUAAGGCCUCGCGCGAUUGGAGCGGCCGAUGUCAGAUUAGCUAGUUGGUGGGGUAAAGGCCCACCAAGGCGACGAUCUGUAGCUGGUCUGAGAGGACGACCAGCCACACUGGGACUGAGACACGGCCCAGACUCCUACGGGAGGCAGCAGUGGGGAAUUUUGGACAAUGGGCGCAAGCCUGAUCCAGCAAUGCCGCGUGCAGGAAGAAGGCCUUCGGGUUGUAAACUGCUUUUGUACGGAACGAAACGGUCUGGGUUAAUACCUCGGGCUAAUGACGGUACCGUAAGAAUAAGCACCGGCUAACUACGUGCCAGCAGCCGCGGUAAUAC